CUCUCAUCACUUUCCCUUUUUCUUCUUUCAUUUCUCUGAAAACCCUAAGGUCAUAGAAGGAUGUGGGCUUGAGGGAAAAUGAGUUGUAGGAGGAAACUUAUUCCUCUUUGCAAUGCAAUUGUCUCCGUUCGGGGGUGCGACGACAACAGCGUUCUCUUCACGACAGCGGAGUUGCGACUUCUUCACGGGUUUCAAAGAGGGUUUCCUUCCACGUCUCGUGAUCUUGAGUGUUGCCGUGAAGAAGAAGAGUUUUAGG
rnacentral:sRNA from 1 species